rnacentral:rRNA from 1 species
AAACUUAAGCAUAUCAAUAAGCGGAGGAAAAGAAACUAACAAGGAUUCCCCUAGUAACUGCGAGUGAAGCGGGAAAAGCUCAAAUUUAAAAUCUGGCGGUCUCUGGCCGUCCGAGUUGUAAUCUAGAGAAGUAAUGCCCGUGCUGGACCGUGUAUAAGUCUCCUGGGAUGGGGCGUCAUAGAGGGUGAGAAUCCCGUCUUUGACACGGACUACCAGUGCRUUGUGGUAUGCUCUCAAAGAGUCGAGUUGUUUGGGAAUGCAGCUCAAAAUGGGUGGUAAAUUCCAUCUAAAGCUAAAUAUUGGCGAGAGACCGAUAGCGAACAAGUACCGUGAGGGAAAGAUGAAAAGAACUUUGGAAAGAGAGUUAAACAGUACGUGAAAUUGCUGAAAGGGAAACGCUUGAAGUCAGUCGCGUUGGCCGGGGAUCAGCCUUGCUUUUGCAUGGUGUACUUUCUGGUUGACGGGUCAGCAUCAAUUUUGACCGCUGGAAAAAGACCUGGGGAAUGUGGCAGCUUCGGCUGUGUUAUAGCCCCUAGUCGCAUACAGUGGUUGGGAUUGAGGAACUCAGCACGCCGCAAGGCCGGGUUUCGAYCACGUUCGUGCUUAGGAUGCUGGCAUAAUGGCUUUAAGCGACCCGUCUUGAAACACGGACCAAGGAGUCUAACAUGCCUGCGAGUAUUUGGGUGGAAAACCCAAGUGCGUAAUGAAAGUGAAAGUUGAGAUCCCUGUCGUGGGGAGCAUCGACGCCCGGACCAGAACUUUUGGGACGGAUCCGCGGUGGAGCAUGUAUGUUGGGACCCGAAAGAUGGUGAACUAUGCCUGAAUAGGGUGAAGCCAGAGGAAACUCUGGUGGAGGCUCGUAGCGAUUCUGACGUGCAAAUCGAUCGUCAAAUUUGGGUAUAGGGGCGAAGACUAUCGAACCAUCUACUAGCUGGUCCUGCCGAGUUCCCCUCAGAACAUUGGAACAGCUACUAGAUGUUCGAUUAGUCUUUCCCCUAAUACCCAAUUUGACGAUCGAUUGGCGUCGAAUCCUAGAGC